rnacentral:rRNA from 3 species
AGAGUUUGAUCAUGGCUCAGAUUGAACGCUGGCGGCAGGCCUAACACAUGCAAGUCGAGCGGUAGCACAGAGAGCUUGCUCUCGGGUGACGAGCGGCGGACGGGUGAGUAAUGUCUGGGAAACUGCCUGAUGGAGGGGGAUAACUACUGGAAACGGUAGCUAAUACCGCAUAACGUCGCAAGACCAAAGUGGGGGACCUUCGGGCCUCAUGCCAUCAGAUGUGCCCAGAUGGGAUUAGCUAGUAGGUGGGGUAAUGGCUCACCUAGGCGACGAUCCCUAGCUGGUCUGAGAGGAUGACCAGCCACACUGGAACUGAGACACGGUCCAGACUCCUACGGGAGGCAGCAGUGGGGAAUAUUGCACAAUGGGCGCAAGCCUGAUGCAGCCAUGCCGCGUGUAUGAAGAAGGCCUUCGGGUUGUAAAGUACUUUCAGCGAGGAGGAAGGCAUUAAGGUUAAUAACCUUGAUGAUUGACGUUACUCGCAGAAGAAGCACCGGCUAACUCCGUGCCAGCAGCCGCGGUAAUACGGAGGGUGCAAGCGUUAAUCGGAAUUACUGGGCGUAAAGCGCACGCAGGCGGUCUGUCAAGUCGGAUGUGAAAUCCCCGGGCUCAACCUGGGAACUGCAUUCGAAACUGGCAGGCUAGAGUCUUGUAGAGGGGGGUAGAAUUCCAGGUGUAGCGGUGAAAUGCGUAGAGAUCUGGAGGAAUACCGGUGGCGAAGGCGGCCCCCUGGACAAAGACUGACGCUCAGGUGCGAAAGCGUGGGGAGCAAACAGGAUUAGAUACCCUGGUAGUCCACGCCGUAAACGAUGUCGACUUGGAGGUUGUGCCCUUGAGGCGUGGCUUCCGGAGCUAACGCGUUAAGUCGACCGCCUGGGGAGUACGGCCGCAAGGUUAAAACUCAAAUGAAUUGACGGGGGCCCGCACAAGCGGUGGAGCAUGUGGUUUAAUUCGAUGCAACGCGAAGAACCUUACCUACUCUUGACAUCCAGAGAACUUAGCAGAGAUGCUUUGGUGCCUUCGGGAACUCUGAGACAGGUGCUGCAUGGCUGUCGUCAGCUCGUGUUGUGAAAUGUUGGGUUAAGUCCCGCAACGAGCGCAACCCUUAUCCUUUGUUGCCAGCGGUCCGGCCGGGAACUCAAAGGAGACUGCCAGUGAUAAACUGGAGGAAGGUGGGGAUGACGUCAAGUCAUCAUGGCCCUUACGAGUAGGGCUACACACGUGCUACAAUGGCAUAUACAAAGAGAAGCGACCUCGCGAGAGCAAGCGGACCUCAUAAAGUAUGUCGUAGUCCGGAUUGGAGUCUGCAACUCGACUCCAUGAAGUCGGAAUCGCUAGUAAUCGUAGAUCAGAAUGCUACGGUGAAUACGUUCCCGGGCCUUGUACACACCGCCCGUCACACCAUGGGAGUGGGUUGCAAAAGAAGUAGGUAGCUUAACCUUCGGGAGGGCGCUUACCACUUUGUGAUUCAUGACUGGGGUGAAGUCGUAACAAGGUAACCGUAGGGGAACCUGCGGUUGGAUCACCU